CUCAGGUUUAAAUCAGCUGAAAGGAGGAAAAAGGAUCUCACAAUGGAAGGACACUGCGAGUUUGCGAGCCUUUAAGCUAACAGCAGAAAUGAAACUGUGUAUAUAUACAUUAACGAAUCAGCCGUUGUUCCCGUUCCUCCCUGGGUUCCCGGCCGAUACUGGCGGAGGAAGAAAAAGACACCUCGAAUAAUACGCUCCUGGAACCGGAAGAAUCUUCCGCCCAGGAGCAACUGGACCUCCAGGAGGA